ACUUAAAUCUUACCAAGAAGCUUUGCAGGAGCAGAUUCGGGAAAGAGAAGCAAGAAAGAAGAAAGAACGUUUAGAAAAAGAAGAAUAUGAAGCUAAACUAGAAGCUGAAAUGAGGAUUUACAACCCCUGGGGGAAGGGCGGAGGAGGUGCCCCUCUCCGAGACGCCAAAGGAAAUCUGAUAAGUCCUUUACAAACACAAGGCUCUCCUUUUGCCCGGGGAAAUACAUUCGGCGAGCCACUCAGCGAGCUUCAAAUUAAACAGCAAGAAUUAUACAAGAAUUUUCUUCGUUUUCAGGUGAAAGCCUUGUUUGGUUAUGAUUUCAACUCUUAAUGAAUAUAAUAAACUAAACUUGCAAGAA
rnacentral:lncRNA from 1 species